rnacentral:lncRNA from 10 species
UCUGUUGCAUGUCCCUGGCUUAGAAACCCUUUCAUUUCUGUCUGUGUUCAUUACAGGCCAAUUAGCUGCUUCUCCAUGAAGAUAAGGACCACCCUCUCCGUGGAACCAAGGAAAGGCAUUUGCUCCCAGCCCGGGCAGCACUUAUGCUCACCUUGUUCUACCUGUCUCAUCACUAGGGAAAGCCUUCCAGAUGUGUUCUGCUAUGGUCCACAGGCUGGAGGGUGCAUGGAACCCACCCAGAGGUGCUCUGCAAUCAGCAAUUCAGUGAGCCAUUCACAGUCCAACCAGUUGCCUUCUGAUGAGAAUGCAUCACACCGCAUGUGGGGAGGGCCAUGUGGGAAUUCUCACACCUGUUGCCUAGAUGCCUGUGUCUGGUUAGAACCACUGCAUGCUUUCUUUCAGUCUACAUUGAAUACGUCUUUGCUGCUCUGGGAUCCAUCCUCCAGUCUUCAGUCAGCUAAGAAAAUGACCUGUGGGCACGUUGGCUUCCUUUCUUCGGAUUAAGUGGUUGUUCAGAGAGAGGCUGAGUCUGAUUGUUUAUUUUUGAUGAUGCUUAACUCACGUGCUUUGCUUAAAGAACUGCAGGGACUGACCUGAAACGCUAAGCAUGGAAUCCAGGUUGCAGAACAUCCCACUCUGGAAAGAAGGCUGAGCCGUUCAUCUGUAUUCCUGUUGCAAUCAAGCUAAUGCCAGCCAGACCACCAGGUGGCCCAUUAUUCAAGACAGUCAUUGAGACUAGACAGACUGACCAG